GAUGAACGCUGGCGGCGUGCCUAAUACAUGCCAGUCGAGCGAACGGACGAGAAGCUUGCUUCUCUGAUGUUAGCGGCGGACGGGUGAGUAACACGUGGAUAACCUACCUAUAAGACUGGGAUAACUUCGGGAAACCGGAGCUAAUACCGGAUAAUAUUUUGAACCGCAUGGUUCAAAAGUGAAAGACGGUCUUGCUGUCACUUAUAGAUGGAUCCGCGCUGCAUUAGCUAGUUGGUAAGGUAACGGCUUACCAAGGCAACGAUGCAUAGCCGACCUGAGAGGGUGAUCGGCCACACUGGAACUGAGACACGGUCCAGACUCCUACGGGAGGCAGCAGUAGGGAAUCUUCCGCAAUGGGCGAAAGCUUGACGGAGCAACGCCGCGUGAGUGAUGAAGGUCUUCGGAUCGUAAAACUCUGUUAUUAGGGAAGAACAUAUGUGUAAGUAACUGUGCACAUCUUGACGGUACCUAAUCAGAAAGCCACGGCUAACUACGUG
rnacentral:rRNA from 1 species